GACGAACGCUGGCGGCGUGCUUAACACAUGCAAGUCGAACGGAAAGGCCCUGCUUUUGUGGGGUGCUCGAGUGGCGAACGGGUGAGUAACACGUGAGUAACCUGCCCUUGACUUUGGGAUAACUUCAGGAAACUGGGGCUAAUACCGGAUAGGAGCUCCUGCUGCAUGGUGGGGGUUGGAAAGUUUCGGCGGUUGGGGAUGGACUCGCGGCUUAUCAGCUUGUUGGUGGGGUAGUGGCUUACCAAGGCUUUGACGGGUAGCCGGCCUGAGAGGGUGACCGGCCACAUUGGGACUGAGAUACGACCCAGACUCCUACGGGAGGCAGCAGUGGGGAAGAUUGCACAAUGGGCGGAAGCCUGAUGCAGCAACGCCGCGUGCGGGAUGACGGCCUUCGGGUUGUAAACCGCUUUCGCCUGUGACGAAGCGUGAGUGACGGUAAUGGGUAAAGAAGCACCGGCUAACUACGUG
rnacentral:rRNA from 1 species